GCCUGGGUGGCUUGGUCGGUUAAGCGUCUGACUUCGGCUCAGGUCAUGAUCUCACGGUCCGUGAGUUCGAGCCCCGUGUCAGGCU
rnacentral:tRNA from 1 species